rnacentral:rRNA from 1 species
GUGGGGAAUAUUGGACAAUGGGCGCAAGCCUGAUCCAGCCAUGCCGCGUGUGUGAAGAAGGCCCUCGGGUUGUAAAGCACUUUCAGUGGGGAAGAAAGCCUGGUGGUUAAUACCCGUCAGGAAGGACAUCACCCACAGAAGAAGCACCGGCUAACUCCGUGCCAGCAGCCGCGGUAAUACGGAGGGUGCGAGCGUUAAUCGGAAUUACUGGGCGUAAAGCGCGCGUAGGUGGCUUGAUAAGCCGGUUGUGAAAGCCCCGGGCUCAACCUGGGAACGGCAUCCGGAACUGUCAGGCUAGAGUGCAGGAGAGGAAGGUAGAAUUCCCGGUGUAGCGGUGAAAUGCGUAGAGAUCGGGAGGAAUACCAGUGGCGAAGGCGGCCUUCUGGACUGACACUGACACUGAGGUGCGAAAGCGUGGGUAGCAAACAGGAUUAGAAACCCUAGUAGUCC